rnacentral:rRNA from 1 species
UACAGAGGGUGCAAGCGUUGUUCGGAAUUAUUGGGCGUAAAGCGCGUGUAGGCGGCUUUGCAAGUCGGGUGUGAAAGCCCUCAGCUCAACUGAGGAAGUGCGCCCGAAACUGCAGAGCUUGAGUACCGGAGAGGAUGGCGGAAUUCCCCAAGUAGAGGUGAAAAUUCGUAGAUAUCGGGAGGAAUACCGGUGGCGAAGGCGGCAUCCUGGACUAAUACUGACGCUGAGGCGCGAAAGCUAGGGGAGCAAACGGGG